AACAAAGUUCACGCAGGCAACGCACGCCGCCAGACGCUCACCAAACGCCCUCGCUCCCGAGCCGAGUCCCCAUUCUCUCCGCCGGCCCCCGCCGCCGCCGCCGCCGCUCCCUCCACCCUCCACACCCGCCGCCGCUCCCCAUUCUCUCCGCCGCCGCUCCCUCCACCGUCCACACCCGCCGACGCACCUCGAGUGCUUCGGACGACACGGCCUCGCGCGGUCUUCUACCGACCAUCGAAACGCAGUCCUACCUCCUGGGCUAGUGUUAAUCCCAAGCGCCGCCCCGUCCUCGCAUUUGAAGGAGAAGGCGCCGCCAUGGUGCCGCUGCUGGCUUGCUCGCCGGCGUCGCGUGCAUCGAUUCGACGGUGCGCGCGGCUCCGUCCAACUCGCCCGUCUGCGUCGUGUGCGUCGAUGAAGGAGCGCAUUGCGGUGCUGCUCGUCCCCGACGCCUCGGCCUCAAAGGGUUUUGCCAUGGCCUACAAGGGCAGCCUGAAGCGCCCCCGCAAGGAGUACGGCGUGCUCUGCAAGCAUUAUGUACAAGAGAAUCUUGCAACCGGUUUGAUUUGGGGUCCACGUGGUUAUUCCAGUCUUUAUUAAUUAGUGAAUGGAGUAUGUUGGGAUUUGGCCCAGGAUUGCCUUUGGUAACAUCCUUGUAGAUGCUAAGACUGAUGUAUGAUGCGCUGGCUUUGAACCUUGGCCUUGGCUACAAUCUCUUUGGUGAGCUACUGGUUCACACUUUGAUCUCCAACUCCUGGUAUGCGUAAUAUUGAUUGUUGUGGUCAAUGGCACUAUUUUGGCUUAUUAGUGGGGCUACUAAAUUUAGUAGUUAUGGAUGUAAUUCCUAGCUUUUGUUAAAUAUUGACUUGCUCUAGUUGAGUAUAUAUACUAGGUGUAUGCAGUGGCGGAGCCAGAACUUUAAACUUGUGUAGUCACUUCAAAGUUGUGUAGUCAAAUACAUGUAUUUCUAUGAAAUUUUCAUUAAUUUCUGUCUUAUUUCUGCUUGUAUACAUCAAAAACUGUGUAGUCAGCUGACUACACAGCUUGUACGUGGCUCCGCCACUGGGUGUAUGUGAUCUGUGAGUUGCUGGUGAAUGGACGAAUUUAUUCAUGAGCAUGUCUCUAUAGCAAUGUCAUGUCAAUCCUGAGUGCAAGUUUAAUAAAGUUUCUAGUGACAGCUGGAUGAUGGAUUGAUGUUGUGAAAAUUCUGAUAAUUUUUGUAUGUGUGGAUCACAAUCACACAUUCAUGCCCUACGUUUUAACCUCUUGCAAAUCAAUCUUGACAGUUGCAAUGACACUGACACACAAGAUAUGUAUGUCUUAUUUGCUAUGCUCAGUUUUUUCCCAUCUAUAUAGUUUUCUGGCCAUAUCCGUUUUGAUCUAUAAUUUGCACUCUUCUCAAGUUUGGCUCUGACCAUAUAAUUUUUUGUGAGAGGGUGUCGUCUGGAGCAUGGAGUGACUAGAGCUUAGCGAAGGGAGGAACGCCACUGUAUCGAUGCUGAAGUUUGGUUGACCUCAUCUUCAUCUCCAUGGUUUAGGUGUUUGGUGCCGAGGCUGUGUGGGGUGGCGGAGGCCAAAGGGACCUGCUGCAAGAGGAAAAUGGUCACCUACAGCAUCAGGAGCUGUGCCUGGAUGUGAAUGCCGCAGACGAUAAGGCUAGGUCAAGUUCAAAAUGGACUUUUUCCCUCCGGCGGAUGGAUUUGCAGCGACGCUGAUAGAUCUUCUAAGGCGAUGGUUGAUCUGUCAAGGUAAGGGUAGGGCUAACCUCCAAUCAUAGUGGUGGCUGGCGGGGUUUACCAAGACAGUGCGGAUGGUCGCCUGCCAGGAGCUGUUGAACUUUCUGUUCCACCCCACCCACGAUGAGCGGCCAACCAUCGCGGGGACGGUGCGGUUCUGGCUCCUGGUGGCGAUGUUCCAGUCCACGUCCGGUGGUGCAGGGGGUAGGCUGUUGAUGAUGUCAACGUUGGCAACUCAGCCUACGAGGUUCACCGUUGCGAUGACACAGCUGCGAGACAACACUGGCAGGAGGAGGUAUCACUGCUGCUGCACCUGUACUUCGAGGAAGGAGGAGGUCUUGGCCCGGUUGUUGUGUUGUAGCACAAAUGGUACUUGUCUGGCAACAACGUCCAGCGUAGCUCUUGCCAGUGCCAACAACCAGCGACGCUGCCAUGCCACAUGCCAGCCGAGAGGCACUCCUUCCCCUGCCUAGGUGCAUGGAGACCUAGUUUUCUGUCGCCUAGAUUCAUCGACAUGGUUCUGCCAUUGGAAGCGGGCCAUGCGAUGAUGCCGACGAUAUAGAGUUUGCUGGUGUUCCAAAGAGUUAGGCUGUGAAUAUCUCCCCCCUAAGGAGGGUGAACCAAACCAUCUACCUGUUGACUGAUGGUACCAGGAAGAGCGCCUUCAAGAACAUCAACACCAUUGCUGAGUGCACCUCGUUCAUGAGCUGAUCAACGAUGCCAAGGGCUUAUCUAACAGAUAAUAUACCAUAAAAAACAGUUGCUUGUCUUGUCUUUUUUCUAUAGUCUGCAUGAAAAAUGGGUGCUUCUAUGACAACACACUUGAUGCUACAUCUGUGAGCAUUUGUGUCUGUUUUUUUCUUUUCUUUUGACCCUGCAAAAAAAGGAACUUAAUGUUUUGUUUUAUGUUUGAAAAAAAUGUGGUGCACUCAUAGUUUUUGAUUUCCUCUUAACCAUGGUGGAUAUGGUGUAUGUGUGCUGGAUCACAUCCUAUCCAUUUUUAGAUAUGCAAAUGUACAGUUUUCCUCAUUUGUACAUGUACUGCUCUUUUGUAAUACAAAAAAACACCAUGUCAAUGCCUGAUAAAGAUGAAUUCUAUGGUUGCCUUUUUUGAUUCAUGUGCUCAUGUUUCUUACCAAAACACGAAUUUAUUUGCUUAACUGAAUUGGUCUUAUUGAUGCCCCUAAAGUGAUUAUUACCGUGGCUAACAAAAUCCUUGUUUUACUAAAAAUGAAAUUUGAUACCAAACUGGUUCCUCAAACGGUUGAAAAAAUUGCUUUUACUUUAUUUUUUGUAUUUCAUUGGAGAAGUGGAGGUAGAGCUGUCCAGGAGGUGGCUACACGGCCAUGAGUUGUCUGCCAUGAAUUAUGCACACAAGGAUUAGAUUGUUUAGUCACGCUUAUUUUCCUGGACAAGAUUUGAGCUCUGUGUGUUUGCGCUAAUUUCAGGGCAAAUGCUUGUUCUGUUCUUGAAACCCACAUCCUUGCUGCACUUGGAUAGUUGUUGCUUGUAUCAACUCCUUAAAUGAAGUGGUCAAGUCGAAUUAUAUUAUGCUAUGGCACAAAUCUUUCGUGUUUCUGUGCUCGGCCUUCAUAUGCUGUGCAGCUUCUGUUUUAUUUAAAUUUCCAUUGGAUGGACUGUGUAGUGGAUUUCCAUUGGAUCGACCGUGUGGUGAAUCCUUUGGAAAUUGCAUCCAUUAUUCCCGGGUAUUAAUGCGAUGGGCAGGAUCAUCUGGACUGCACAAGUGUCUUAGUAGUCAAGAUUCCUUCCCCAACUAGUUGUUUCGUGACUUGGAAUUUGCUAACUGAGCUGUCAUUAAAAUAUUUUUUUCGCAGCAUCCUUGUUGAUUAAGUGAAGAAACCGGUUGCUUCCCAUCCCUGAUCCAAUUGUUGAUCUAUAGGGAAUCUGGAAGAAGCAGUUAGGCAGUCCUCCUUAAUCUGAACUUACCAAUCAUGUAUGACCACCACUCCAACGAGGGCUCUCGGUGCACUUCUGGCCAUCCUCAUGUGCCUUUGUUCUCAGUGGUGGUCUUGGUUGUCCAUUGGCUCUGGCCACCUCCUUGGCGAUGCAACCACUGUAGCGGUGGCGUUCACUCCUUCCGCAAACAUCUGAAAAUUCAUUGAAAAGAUGGUGUCUAUCACAUGAUAAACAAGUUGGUUGGUCACUCGCUGGACUAGUGUCUUACCUUCCUCUUCGGCCUGCUUACUCUAUUUCUUAUCAUCUUCUGAAGUCAGACAAUCAGAUGGAGGAAUUGUGUAAGUGGCAGUUUCAAUAAAGGAGUCCCGCUUGCAAGAUAUCCUACAACAUGUAGUUGCCAAGCAUGUGGAAUAUGGGUGCUAAUUAAGCUUUGUUCCUCUGUAGCAUGAAACUACACCUGUUGCUUUUGUCGUGCAAUUUUUGAUGAUUCAUUUUUUUAACUCAUAUAUGUUAUAAUAUGUGGAAGAUAUAUGUGAGGCGCCAAGAGGAGCAUCGUGAGAUUCGUCGAAGUGUAAAACCUCGGAGAGAGCCAUUUGAAGAAGAGGAUGGGAUGUAGGUGUGGAUUGUUUUGGCCUCUCUCGGUGCUCCAGGCCAGGAGUUGUAAUGGUAGUGCGACAGCUUCCUUUGGCAUGAUUGUUACUCCCUUCGGUCGGAUUAAAUCGACGCGGAGGGAGGCAAAACUACCGUAUGGUGUGAGUACAGUUGCGUCGAUUAAAUAAGUCCGGAGGUAGUACUUGACAAGAUUUUCUCUGUUUGGUUAGAGUUGCGAGUCCAGUAGGGAUUGAUUUGAAUGUCAUAUGAGUUGUGCUGUGAGCACAUUAUGGUGUAUUGCUUGAUAUUGUGUUGUGAAUGUCCCAAAAAGAGCGAAAUGCCGAAACUUUUGAACACUCUA